GACGAACGCUGGCGGCGUGCUUAACACAUGCAAGUCGAACGGUAAGGCCCUUCGGGGUACACGAGUGGCGAACGGGGGAGUAACACGUGGGUGAUCUGCCCUGCACUUCGGGAUAAGCCUGGGAAACUGGGUCUAAUACCGGAUAGGACCACUGCCUGCAUGGGAGGUGGUGGAAAGCUUUUGCAGUGUGGGAGGGGCCCGCGGCCUAUCAGCUUGUUGGUGGGGUGAUGGCCUACCAAGGCGACGACGGGUAGCCGGCCUGAGAGGGUGACCGGCCACACUGGGACGGAGAUACGGCCCAGACUCCUACGGGAGGCAGCAGUGGGGAAUAUUGCACAAUGGGCGCAAGCCUGAUGCAGCGACGCCGCGUGAGGGAUGACGGCCUUCGGGUUGUAAACCUCUUUCAGCACCGACGAAGCGCAAGUGACGGUAGGUGCAGAAGAAGGACCGGCCAACUACGUGCCAGCCGCCGCCGUAA
rnacentral:rRNA from 1 species